AACGAACGCUGGCGGCAUGCCUAACACAUGCAAGUCGAACGAGACCUUCGGGUCUAGUGGCGCACGGGUGCGUAACGCGUGGGAACCUGCCCUUAGGUUCGGAAUAACUCCCCGAAAGGGGUGCUAAUACCGGAUAAUGUCUUGGGACAAAGAUUUAUCGCCUUUGGAUGGGGCCGCGUUGGAUUAGCUAGUUGGUAGGGUAAAAGCCUACCAAGGCGACGAUCCAUAGCUGGUCUGAGAGGAUGAUCAGCCACACUGGGACUGAGACACGGCCCAGACUCCUACGGGAAGCAGCAGUGGGGAAUAUUGGACAAUGGGCGAAAGCCUGAUCCAGCAAUGCCGCGUGAGUGAUGAAGGCCUUAGGGUUGUAAAGCUCUUUUACCCGGGAUGAUAAUGACAGUACCGGGAGAAUAAGCUCCGGCUAACUCCGUG
rnacentral:rRNA from 1 species